CUUCCGUUCCUCACUCCAACACAAGAAAGAGGCAGUGACUUCUAAAGAAACAUUGCACGGUAGAGCAAGAUGACAAGAAAAUCAAGCAUCAGAGAAAUUGAGGAAUCUGUCUGAGGCCACUCAGCUCUAACUACCUGUGCGACCCUUGGAAAGCAGCUCCGCCUCUGUGAGUCA